rnacentral:rRNA from 1 species
AACGAACGCUGGCGGCAGGCUUAACACAUGCAAGUCGAACGCAUCGCAAGAUGAGUGGCAGACGGGUGAGUAACGCGUGGGAACAUACCCUUUUCUACGGAAUAGCUCUGGGAAACUGGAAUUAAAACCGUAUACGCCCUACGGGGGAAAGAUUUAUCGGGGAAGGAUUGGCCCGCGUUGGCUUAGCUAGUUGGUGGGGUAAAUGCCUACCAAGGCGACGAUCCAUAGCUGGUCUGAGAGGAUGAUCAGCCACAUUGGGACCGAGACACGGCCCAAACUCCUACGGGAGGCAGCAGUGGGGAAUAUUGGACAAUGGGCGCAAGCCUGAACCAGCCAUGCCGCGUGAGUGAUGAAGGCCUUAGGGUUGUAAAGCUCUUUCACCGAUGAAGAUAAUGACGGUAGUCGGAGAAGUAGCCCCGGCUAACUUCGUGCCAGCCGCCGCAGUAAUAC